UAUAGAAACAGAGGUUCAUAGACCAGAGCCAUUUUCGUUUUCGAUUUUCUUAGAGAGAGAGAGAGAGAGAGAGAGAGAGAGAGAGAGAGAGCUAUAGUAACGAUGUCGACCCUUAGAGUUCCUCAACAAGUUCCUCCUGCAUCCGAAGACUGUGAGCAGCUCAAACAGGCCUUCAAAGGAUGGGGAACCAAUGAGGACUUAAUCAUAUCCAUCUUGGGGCAUAGAAAUGCCGCUCAAAGAAAGGUGAUCCGACAAAUUAAGAAUGCACUCUAGUUUUUGCAUUAGUUGAGAUAAUUUGACUGCAUGUUUUACAUAAAUUGUUAUCAUGAUUGAUUUUUGCCAAGACAAGGCAGACAUUUAGCUCAUUGUUUUCAGCUGUCUUUUUUCAUGAUUGGAUGAGCAUCCAUGAUACUAGUUUUCACAAGUUCAAUUUUUGGCUAUUUGUCUCUCUCUCCUCUCCGGAUCCAACCUCUCCAGCCCAAUUUAUCCAGCCAACACCAUACCUAAACAACCACCCACCCAACUAAAGCAGAGAGACGAAUUGGGGAGGUUACAGAGAGACGGAGAGAUUCCGACGACGAGCUCACCAGAUCCAACCCCUUCUCGACCUCAACCCAGUCCGGCCAUCCAAAUCUCUUCAGCACACCCCACUAAACUUCUUCAGCACACCCACUGCCCAUGCAGUCGGCGUCGCCUAAGGAGAUUUUGAGUGCUUUUGCUGAGGUGGGGCAGCCAA